AGGGGCGCAAUCACGACUCACUGCAGCCUCGACCUCCUGGGCUCAAGUGAUCCUCCUGCCUCACCCACCCAAGUAGCUCGGACCACAGCCACGUGCCUCCACAACUGGCUAAUUUUUGUAUUUUUGGAGAGAUGGGGUUUUGCCAUGUUGCCCAGGCUUGUUUAGGAAAAAACAUUAUGCCACAUUCUAACCGGAGCAGAAGUGCGCAGACAUCUCAGAGUCUAAGCUGGCAUUAACAACUUUUACAAACCCACCUAGCUGAUU
ensembl:lncRNA novel transcript